GACUUGAUGGUGAAGUGGCAAUCACAUCUUGCCUUUUGGUGGAAGUCUCCUGUUCGACUCAGGAUCAGGUCG